GAGCACGUAGGUGGGUUUGUAAGUCAGAUGUGAAAGCCUUCUGUUCAACGGAAGAAUUGCAUCUGAAACUACAAGCCUUGAGUGUAGGAGGGGAGAAUGGAACUUCUGGUGGAGCGGUGAAAUGCGUAGAUAUCAGAAGGAACGCCGGCGGCGAAAAGCGAUUCUCUGGCCUAUUACUGACACUCAGUGUGCGAAAGCUAGGGGAGCAAACGGGAUUAGAUACCCCGGUAGUCCUAGCCGUAAACGAUGGGCACUAAGUAGAGGGGUUUU
rnacentral:rRNA from 1 species